rnacentral:lncRNA from 1 species
AUCGAUUUAAAUCCAAACUGUGCGAACCCGAACUUAACAAUUAGAAUUCUUUCUAAUUGGUGAUCGAAUUAAACUCUUUAAUUCGAUCAAACCUAUAAGACAAGAUUGACAUCUAGCAACGUGUCAUGUCGACCCGAAAAAUAUGGAAUUUGGUAGAAAUACCAAAAAUACCCUUCAGUGGCAAGUUACCGUGCAAUUCAAUCCUUUAAACAAACUGCAUCCCGAAUAUGUAUAUGAGUAUGAAUAUUUGUCAAACUCAAUUUCAUAUUCAUAUAUUUAUCAAUCUUCUAAUGAUAAUUCGAAUAAUGAAACAUUAGAAACUCUUUCUAAUUUUCGUUGUGCUUUGAUCAAAGGAUGCCUGAAUUAUCAUAUGAUUAGAAUAAAUAGGAUGCGAUCUUCUCUUACUAGAAGUGAUUAAUUUCUUGUUGACCUACUCAUAACCUUCGUACACAUUCCACAAUAUCUAGAAGACCUCGUACAUAACUUAUUGUCAUGAAUGAGUGGAAACCAAAAUAUGAAUUUAUGUGCACAAGAUACUAUGGUGAUCUCAGGUCAAAGGAUUAGUUGCACAACUCCCACUAAGAGAAUCAUCUUUUGACAUGUAAGUAAGACUUCAUAAGAUUUCUCGUUGUAGGUCAAUUCAGUGAACUCAUUUCUCUAAUGAGCACCCACAUCUUUGCAUUAGUGUCUCCACACAAGUGAUUGUGAGAUCAAUCAUCCUCUGCAUCGACCAUACAUAAGAUGUGCCAGUCUUUCUGGUAAACAUUGAUCCCCGACUCAAUGUACCAAUGACUGGAAAUAUUUAAGAUUAGGAUUUUAGGAUUUUAGAUCUCACUAGUAUGAUCUCAUCAUAGCCUCAAAAUCAUUGCCUUAAUCUAAGGGGUUCAUCACAAAUAUAAUCAACAGCAUAUGAUGAAACACAAUGCCAUUAUUUAUAUUGAAUGUCAUGUACAUGAUUUGGAAAAUCAAAAGAAAAUCCUUCAUAAUACAUAUUGCGAUUGGCUUGUAAGGCAUCUACUCUUUCAGCGUUCGCAAAGGUCCCACUUAAAAACCACUUGCCUCGAACAGAUUAACGUCUCCCUUAUAGGGACAAAGCUUGCCUAGACAUCAACUAAGUCACAGAGCGAAAUUGGUGCAACUUUCGGUGAUCUUCGUCCUAUUGAGCUCGAAUGUCCCUAGGAGCAAACGUCUAAUUGAUUUUAAUUAAGCUGACACUAUGUAAGAUUGAGUUCACCUAAGUUGGGCAAGAGGCCGGUGAUAAAAUCCGGCUCUUAUCUUGUUAGGAUGAUUGCCCUUACUAUGUGCGGAUUAAUUUGUGUAUGUGUAUCAAGCAUGCAUUCACACUUUUGCUAAAAUUAAAAUCAAACAAUCACCACAAAAUUUUAAGCUAAUUGGGAAUCAAUUUAAAUAAGAAAGGUUUAGAGGUUACCAAAGAGAAUUUUUUCAGCAAAUUUCUUUUUUUUAAGCAAAUCUCUGCAGCAUUUCUUUUUUGCAGUCCCCUCUUUGACCGUCCCAGAUUUCCUCUUCGAUUCCUGAUCAAAUAAUAUCAAAAGAAAAUUAAAAAUUAGUAAGAGAGAAAAAGAAGAUAAGAAAAGUAACAACAAU